rnacentral:tRNA from 1 species
ACCUGGGUGGCUCAGUGGUUGAGCAUCUGUCUUUGGCUCAGGGCAUGAUCCCAGGGUCGUGGGAUCGAGUCCCACAUCAGGAU